UAGCUCUCAAAUCCACCGCCGACUCCUCUUCCCCGAGCCCUCACGCGACGCCGCCCUCUCCUCCUCACGCCGAACCCUUUUCUCCCCAAAUCCACAACCGACUGCCUUCUUCCCUCUCCCUCUCGCGAGUUCCCACACCACAGCAGCCGGCGAUCUUCUCCUCCUCCUCAUGCGAGCACCACAACCGCCGACUCUCCCCCUCACACGAGCACCACAACCGCCGACCUCGCUCUCUCGCACGAGCACCACAGACGCCUCCGACCUCUCCUCCUCAUGCGAGCACCAGAGACGUCGAACCACCGCCAGUACAACGAGCUAGUGGCCAACGUGACGCCUCUCCAUCACAUUCUGUCGUUCCCUAAUACUGAGUUCCCUGGCAAUUUUCCUCCUUCGUCAGUCACCAGGUUUCAUUGAGGUGGGUUCCAGCCGGAGAGGAAGCUGUGGAUGUCGAAAUUGGGUAAGGCAUUUACAGUUUUGGGAUGUUAGAUCUGUAGAUCGAGGUUUUGAGUUUCGAUUUGGAUUACAUGUUCUUGAAUGUAGCUUCAUAGUAAACUCGACUGUAGAUUUUCAGCAGCAGGCAUCACCAGCGAGCAAUUUUCCAGCAAUUGCACUUCCUGGCAGUGGGUCAGCAAAGAUGAAUUCAUUGUAGGGUUCAAGAUAACAUCAACCUAUUCUAUUGCACCAGAGAAAACAUAACCAUCAUUUUAACUAGUAUGAGUGUCGACCCGGGCAUUAUGAGUCAGAUGCCUUCAUUGCCUGUGUUAAUCGAUGAUCAUCUUUUCCAGUCUAUUCUUCCCCUUGCUAACCAGGUGCAUUUACCUGCAAAUACUUCUCUAAAGGAAGAGCCGAGAUACUGGUAAAUCUUUUUCGCUUGGAGGGUGGCGAUUCGAUAUCUGUAACUGAAGUUGGCUUCCACAUAGCAAAUCGAAGCUUCUUCAGAUGGCUGCUAUGUUCUUCAAGGGAGAUCCUACUCGGAACACCGAGGCAAGCGACUGAGCGAGGAAGGCUGAGGAACACCGAGGCGAGGAGCACGGCGUCGCGGGAGAGGAACGCCGAGGAACACCGAGGCGAGCGAGGAAAGCCGAGGAAAGGAACAUGGCGUCACUGGCUAGGAACUCCGAGGAACGGCGUGGAACGCCGAGGCGAGCGAGGAGAGAAGACGUGUCGAUGAGAAAAUCUUGGAUUUAAAAAUAACAAAAAAAAAAACGCGCACGGGAGCGUAUAAGAAGA